UGUUAGCGGCGGACGGGUGAGUAACACGUGGGUAACCUGCCUGUAAGACUGGGAUAACUCCGGGAAACCGGGGCUAAUACCGGAUGGUUGUCUGAACCGCAUGGUUCAGACAUAAAAGGUGGCUUCGGCUACCACUUACAGAUGGACCCGCGGCGCAUUAGCUAGUUGGUGAGGUAACGGCUCACCAAGGCGACGAUGCGUAGCCGACCUGAGAGGGUGAUCGGCCACACUGGGACUGAGACACGGCCCAGACUCCUACGGGAGGCAGCAGUAGGGAAUCUUCCGCAAUGGACGAAAGUCUGACGGAGCAACGCCGCGUGAGUGAUGAAGGUUUUCGGAUCGUAAAGCUCUGUUGUUAGGGAAGAACAAGUGCCGUUCAAAUAGGGCGGCACCUUGACGGUACCUAACCAGAAAGCCACGGCUAACUACGUGCCAGCAGCCGCGGUAAUACGUAGGUGGCAAGCGUUGUCCGGAAUUAUUGGGCGUAAAGGGCUCGCAGGCGGUUUCUUAAGUCUGAUGUGAAAGCCCCCGGCUCAACCGGGGAGGGUCAUUGGAAACUGGGGAACUUGAGUGCAGAAGAGGAGAGUGGAAUUCCACGUGUAGCGGUGAAAUGCGUAGAGAUGUGGAGGAACACCAGUGGCGAAGGCGACUCUCUGGUCUGUAACUGACGCUGAGGAGCGAAAGCGUGGGGAGCGAACAGGAUUAGAUACCCUGGUAGUCCACGCCGUAAACGAUGAGUGCU
rnacentral:rRNA from 1 species